rnacentral:rRNA from 1 species
UACAGAGGUGGCAAGCGUUGUUCGGAAUUACUGGGCGUAAAGGGCGCGUAGGCGGCCUUCUAAGUCAGACGUGAAAUCCCCCGGCUUAACCUGGGAACUGCGUCUGAUACUGGGAGGCUUGAGUAUGGGAGAGGGAUGUAGAAUUCCAGGUGUAGCGGUGAAAUGCGUAGAUAUCUGGAGGAACACCUGUGGUGUAGACAGCUUACUGGACGAUAACUGACGCUGAGGCACGAAAGCGUGGGUAGCAAACAGG